rnacentral:misc_RNA from 1 species
GAUGAAGAACGUAGCGAAAUGCGAUAAGUAAUGUGAAUUGCAGAAUUCAGUGAAUCAUCGAAUCUUUGAACGCACAUUGCGCCCGCUAGUAUUCUGGCGGGCAUGCCUGUCCGAGCGUCAUUACAACCCUCAAGCCCCCGGGCUUGGUGUUGGGGAUCGGCGAGCCUCCGCGCCCGCCGUCCCCUAAAUCUAGUGGCGGUCUCGCUGUAGCUUCCUCUGCGUAGUAGCACACCUCGCACUGGGAAACAGCGCGGCCACGCCGUUAAACCCCCAACUUCUGAACGUUUGACCUCGGAUCAGGUAGGAAUACCCGCUGAACUUAAGCAUAUCAAUAAGCGGAGGA